AGGGGUUUGGGAUCCUGGCUCAGGACGAACGCUGGCGGCGUGCUUAACACAUGCAAGUCGAACGGAUCAAGGGAGCUUGCUUCCUUGGUUAGUGGCGAACGGGUGAGUAACACGUGAGCAAUCUGCCCCUGACUCUGGGAUAACUUCGGGAAACCGUAGCUAAUACCGGAUACGACACGCGAAGGCAUCUUCUGCGUGUGGAAAGAAUUUUGGUCAGGGAUGAGCUCGCGGCCUAUCAGCUUGUUGGUGAGGUAACGGCUCACCAAGGCGACGACGGGUAGCCGGCCUGAGAGGGUGACCGGCCACACUGGGACUGAGACACGGCCCAGACUCCUACGGGAGGCAGCAGUGGGGAAUAUUGCACAAUGGGCGAAAGCCUGAUGCAGCAACGCCGCGUGAGGGACGACGGCCUUCGGGUUGUAAACCUCUUUUGUCAGGGAAGAAGCGAAAGUGACGGUACCUGAAGAAAAAGCACCGGCUAACUACGUGCCAGCAGCCGCGGUAAUACGUAGGGUGCAAGCGUUGUCCGGAAUUAUUGGGCGUAAAGAGCUCGUAGGCGGUCUGUCGCGUCUGCUGUGAAAACCCGAGGCUCAACCUCGGGCCUGCAGUGGGUACGGGCAGACUAGAGUGCGGUAGGGGAGAUUGGAAUUCCUGGUGUAGCGGUGGAAUGCGCAGAUAUCAGGAGGAACACCGAUGGCGAAGGCAGAUCUCUGGGCCGUAACUGACGCUGANGAGCGAAAGCGUGGGGAGCGAACAGGAUUA
rnacentral:rRNA from 1 species